rnacentral:rRNA from 1 species
AAUCCAGCUCAGAACGAACGCUGGCGGCAUGCCUAACACAUGCAAGUCGAACGAGACCUUCGGGUCUAGUGGCGCACGGGUGCGUAACGCGUGGGAAUCUGCCCUUGGGUUCGGGAUAACAGUUGGAAACGACUGCUAAUACCGGAUGAUGACUUCGGUCCAAAGAUUUAUCGCCCAGGGAUGAGCCCGCGUAGGAUUAGCUAGUUGGUGAGGUAAAGGCUCACCAAGGCGACGAUCCUUAGCUGGUCUGAGAGGAUGAUCAGCCACACUGGGACUGAGACACGGCCCAGACUCCUACGGGAGGCAGCAGUGGGGAAUAUUGGACAAUGGGCGAAAGCCUGAUCCAGCAAUGCCGCGUGAGUGAUGAAGGCCUUAGGGUUGUAAAGCUCUUUUACCCGGGAUGAUAAUGACAGUACCGGGAGAAUAAGCCCCGGCA